AAUGCACAAACCCACAGAUAUCACUCCUUCCACCCACAGGGUCUGUUGGGACUGGGGGUGAUAGAUGUGCUGUGCUGGUGACAGACCACCCCCUACCAUCCCACAUCUGCCCUGGGAGAAGGAACUGUGCUCUGCAGCUGCUGCAAGCUGUAAUGCUGAGAGAUACUCAAAAUAUGCCAGACACCAAGCUUGUACCUAGCUUUCUCCAGCUUCUCAAACCCUUCAUAGCUCAUCACUCCUGAGGAUCAUCUCACUGGUUUUCCACUCAUCUCUCUUUCCUGCACAGAAAGCAAAGUGUCUUUUUCCAGCAGAUAUCUGCUACAAUCAGGAGCCAGCUUUGUGUAGCUACCAUGCCCAAAGGCAGACUCUUGUCAGUCAGUCUCAGAAGUCUCUUUGAAAGUUGGUUUAUUGGCUGCCUAUGAGAAGAUUGAGGAAUGCAACUUGUACUACUGUGUUUCCCAAAUACGUGCAACAAAUUCAUAUACAUGUAGCACACCUUUAUUUGGAAAUGAAGAAUAUUGCAUUUUUCCCAGAUGCUGAGGGCUUCCUCCCCUAUUUUAGUGCAACCAAGGAUGUGCGUACGUAUGUUGAGACGUGGCGAGGAUUGUGAGAUCUCCCGCACUUCACAGAACAAGCCAAGGGAUGCCUGAUAGCUACAGAUGGUCUGAGAGCAGCUUUACACCUUGUACAGCAGCACUGGGUCCUGAUGCCAUACUGACAGACAUUCCACUGUCUCUGACUGCAGUAUCAUGGGCUGAAUUCCCAACAUAAUUUACAGCAGCAUCAGAGACAUUCAUGGAAUAGUUUGAUCCAGCAGACACCAAUUAUAUCAGGCAUCUGAGCACCUUGUGAGAUCUUGAUGGAGUCAUGGAGAAAGUGCAGUGGAAUUUGCUUUAUUCUUUUUAUUAUUCUGUCCAUACUGGAGGAAAUGGAUAUUCACCCUAUUCACCUCCUGAGUGGAGAGCAGAAAAGAAAGAGGGAAGGCAACUCCACCAAGCAGUGGCUUAAUCCACAAAGGCUGCAGCCUCAAAUGAAGGAUUCACCGUGCACAACUGGAUCAUUUCGCUGUGUGGAUAUUAUUGCUACGGCCAAAGCCUCAUCCAGUCUGCAGUAGCCCCUGGAAAUACUGAAAAAGUAAAGCAAGGUGAUCUUCUUACCAAUAAAUAAAUAAAUAAAUAAAAUGCCA
rnacentral:lncRNA from 1 species